GGGAUUGCCAUUGUAACUGUUUUACUAGAGUGUAGUAGAGAUCGUCGGAAUGACUUGUGUAGCGGUGAAACGCAUAGAUAUAACUCAGAACACCUAUUGCGUAGGCAGCCGUCUAUACUACAACUGACGCUGAGGCACGAAAGCGUGGGGAGCGAACAGGAUUAGAUACCCUGGUAGUCCACGCUGUAAACGAUGAUCACUCGUUGUUGGCUACUUAGUAGUCAGUGACCAAGGGAAACCGAUAAGUGAUCCACCUGGGGAGUACGUCGGCAACGAUGAAACUCAAAGGAAUUGACGGGGGCCCGCACAAGCGGAGGAACAUGUGGUUUAAUUCGAUGAUACGCGAGGAACCUUACCUGGGCUUAAAUGCUGGCUGCAUUGGAGGGAAACCUUCAUUUCCUGCGGGACCGCCAGCAAGGUGCUGCAUGGUUGUCGUCAGCUCGUGCCGUGAGGUGUCGGGUUAAGUCCCAUAACGAGCGCAACCCCUAUCGCUAGUUGCCAGCAUGUAAUGGUGGGGACUCUAGCGAGACUGCCGGUGUAAACCGGAGGAAGGUGGGGAUGACGUCAAAUCAGCACGGCCCUUACGUCCAGGGCUACACACGUGUUACAAUGGCCGGUACAAAGAGCAGCCACCUGGCGACAGGGCGCUAAUCUCUAAAACCGGUCUCAGUUCGGAUCGAAGUCUGCAAUUCGACUUCGUGAAGGUGGAUUCGCUAGUAAUCGCGCAUCAGCCAUGGCGCGGUGAAUAAGUUCCCGGGCCUUGUACACACCGCCCGUCAAGCCAUGGAAGUCGGGGGUACCUGAAGUCCGUAACCG
rnacentral:rRNA from 1 species